UUUUUGGUCAAUGCAGAUUUCCAGAACCUACGGGACCUACUACAUUGGCUUAUCCGUGGACCUCGAUGGCUCAUUUUGGUGGAUGGAUGGUACUUCGGCGGGGUUCCAAAGAUGGGACGAGAACCAACCUAAUCAGAAUAGCUACGAUGAGAACUGCGUCGCUAUGUCCUACUUUAUGGGUGAGUACACAUUGGCAGUUUACUAGAUGGACAAAAGUAUUCCGUUCAACGAGAAUAAGAAUGCCCCCUGCUUGGCUGACUUUGGAGGCGGGACAG